rnacentral:rRNA from 1 species
GAUGAACGCUAGCGGCAGGCUUAACACAUGCAAGUCGAGGGGUAGAGGAAGCUUGCUUCCUUGAGACCGGCGCACGGGUGCGUAACGCGUAUGCAACCUACCUUUUACAGAGGGAUAGCCCAGAGAAAUUUGGAUUAAUACCUCGUGGUAUAUAUCAUUCGCAUGUUUGAUAUAUUAAAGUUCCAACGGUAAAAGAUGGGCAUGCGUCCUAUUAGCUAGAUGGUAAGGUAACGGCUUACCAUGGCAACGAUAGGUAGGGGUCCUGAGAGGGAGAUCCCCCACACUGGUACUGAGACACGGACCAGACUCCUACGGGAGGCAGCAGUGAGGAAUAUUGGACAAUGGGCGCAAGCCUGAUCCAGCCAUGCCGCGUGCAGGAAGAAGGACCUAUGGUUUGUAAACUGCUUUUGAACGGGAAUAAAGUGAGUCUCGUGAGACUUUUUGCAUGUACCUUAUGAAUAAGGACCGGCUAAUUCCGUGCCAGCAGCAGCCGCAGUAA